rnacentral:tRNA from 2 species
GGGCCUGUAGCUCAGCGGUGAGAGCGGCCGGCUCAUAACCGGUUGGUCCUGGGUUCGAAUCCCGGCAGGCCCACCA